UGAAAAUGAGGAAGAGCCUUCUAUUCAGGU
rnacentral:piRNA from 1 species